rnacentral:tRNA from 1 species
GCCGGGGUAGCUCAAUCGGUAGAGCGGUAAGUUUCACUGCCAUCCAACAUCAACCGUUUCAUUCAACUAAUAUCUUCUCAGUGUGGCUCUUAAUUCAUAAGACACCUCAAGGUUGCGGGUUCGACCCCCGUCUUCGGCU